UACAUAUAUAUAUAUAUUUAUAUAUAUAUAUAUAUAUAUAUAUAUAUAUAUAUAUAUAUAUAUAUAUAUAUAUAUAUACACACACACACAUAUUUAUAUAUAUAUAUAUAUAUA
rnacentral:miRNA from 1 species